AGCAGCGUGACGCAGUGGUAGCGUGCAGGGCUCAUAACCCUGAAGUCCCUCGAUCGAAACGAGGCGCUGCUA
rfam:Punctularia strigosozonata HHB-11173 SS5 unplaced genomic scaffold PTNSTscaffold_3, whole genome shotgun sequence.